rnacentral:lncRNA from 12 species
GAAACUCAUAGCCUGUGAACUCAAAACAAUGUUGGCUGAAUUUUGCCUCGGGAGAUAUUUCAAGGACUGGGCAUCAGCAGUGUGAGGACACCCUGUCCUUCCUAGGAUUCAUCCUGUAGCCCAUUCCUGCUGCCUCCAUCCUGUAGCUCCAUCCCAUUUUUCCCAUGCCAGGAGUUCUUAAGUUUUGCAAGAAGACUCUGGAAAAGCUCUUUUGAGAUACAGUAUUGGAUUCCUUCCAAAGUCAAGAAGUUGACCCUUCUGUAGACUACAUCUACUGU